UCUGCGGGUGGUGAGGCCCAGACCCAGGCUGCCCCCAGGAGCUGUGGGUGCCCCAUCCCUGGCAGUGCCCAAGGCCAGGCUGGAUGGGGCUGGGGGCAGCCGGGGCUGGGGGCAGGGGGCCCUGGGCAUAGCAGGGGGUGGCACGGGGGGGGCUU